UACGAAGGGGGCGAGCGUUGUUCGGAUUUACUGGGCGUAAAGGGCGCGCAGGCGGCUCAUUUUGUCAGGCGUGAAAGCCCCGGGCUUAACCUGGGAACUGCGUUUGAUACGGAUGGGCUAGAGUUCGGGAGAGGAGAGUGGAAUUCCCAGUGUAGAGGUGAAAUUCGUAGAUAUUGGGAAGAACACCGGUGGCGAAGGCGGCUCUCUGGACCGAGACUGACGCUGAGGCGGCGAAAAGCGUGGGGGAGCAAACAGG
rnacentral:rRNA from 1 species